GAUGGGCCCCAAGUUUAGGAUUAAGCUUAGUUUGGUAAGGUUAAAUGGCUUUACCCAAGGCGAACGAUCCCUUAGGCUGGUUUGGAGAGGGAUGAUCCAGCCCACACUGGGAAUUGAGACCCCGGCCCCAGACUCCUUACGGGAGGCAGCCAGUGGGGAAUUUUUGCACAAUGGGGGGAAACCCUUGAUGCAAGCCAUGCCGGGGUGUUUGAAGGAAGGCCUUUCGGGUUGUAAAAGCACUUUUCAGCAGUGAAGGAAGGUCGUGGGGGUUAAUACCCGCCAUUGAUUGACGUUAGCUGCAGAAGAAGCACCGGCUAAAUUCCGUGCCAGCAGCCGCGGUAAUACGGAGGGUGCGAGCGUUAAUUGGAAUUACUGGGCGUAAAGCGCAUGCAGGCGGUUUGUUAAGUCAGAUGUGAAAGCCCGGGGCUCAACCUUGGAACCGCAUUCGGAACUGGCAGGCUAGAGUUUUGUAGAAGGAGGUAGAAUUUCAGGUGUAGCGGUGAAAUGCGUAGAGAUUUGAAGGAAUACCAGUGGCGAAGGCGGCCCCCUGGACAAAGAAUGACGCUCAGAUGCGAAAGCGUGGGUAGCAAACAGGAUUAGAUACCCUGGUAGUUCAAGCCGUAAACGCUGUUUAAUUGGAGGUUGAGGUUUUAGACUCUUGCUUUCGGCGGUAACGCAUUAAGUAGACCGCCUGGGGAGUACGGCCGCAAGGUUAAAACUCAAAUGAAUUGACGGGGGCCCGCACAAGCGGUGGAGCAUGUGGUUUAAUUCGAUGCAAACCGAAGAACCUUACCUACUCUUGACAUCCAGAGAACCUUUCAGAGAUGGAUUGGUGCCUUUGGGAACUGUGAGACAGGUGCUGCAUGGGUGUUGUUAGCUCGUGUUGUGAAAUGUUGGGUUAAGUCCCGCAACGAGGGCAACCCUUAUCCUUGUUUGCCAGCACAUAAUGGUGGGAACUCCAGGGAGACUGCCGGUGAUAAACCGGAGGAAGGUGGGGACGACGUCAAGUCAUCAUGGCCCUUACGAGUAGGGCUACACACGUGCUACAAUGGCAGAUACAGAGGGCAGCGAAGCUGCGAAGUGGAGCGAAUCCCUUAAAGUCUGUCGUAGUCCGGAUUGGAGUCUGCAACUCGACUCCAUGAAGUCGGAAUCGCUAGUAAUCGUGAUCAGAGCCCGAUUCCCGGUUUU
rnacentral:rRNA from 1 species